AGAUUAAGUUAUUAAGGGCGCACGGUGGAUGCCUUGGCACUAGAAGCCGAUGAAGGACGUUACUAACGACGAUAUGCUUUGGGGAGCUGUAAGUAAGCUUUGAUCCAGAGAUUUCCGAAUGGGGAAACCCAGCAUGAGUUAUGUCAUGUUAUCGAUAUGUGAAUACAUAGCAUAUCAGAAGGCACACCCGGAGAACUGAAACAUCUUAGUACCCGGAGGAAGAGAAAGAAAAUUCGAUUCCCUUAGUAGCGGCGAGCGAAACGGGAAGAGCCCAAACCAACAAGCUUGCUUGUUGGGGUUGUAGGACACUCUAUACGGAGUUACAAAGGACGACAUUAGACGAAUCAUCUGGAAAGAUGAAUCAAAGAAGGUAAUAAUCCUGUAGUCGAAAAUGUUGUCUCUCUUGAGUGGAUCCUGAGUACGACGGAGCACGUGAAAUUCCGUCGGAAUCUGGGAGGACCAUCUCCUAAGGCUAAAUACUCUCUAGUGACCGAUAGUGAACCAGUACCGUGAGGGAAAGGUGAAAAGCACCCCGGAAGGGGAGUGAAAUAGAACCUGAAACCGUGUGCUUACAAGUAGUCAGAGCCCGUUAAUGGGUGAUGGCGUGCCUUUUGUAGAAUGAACCGGCGAGUUACGAUUUGAUGCAAGGUUAAGCAGUAAAUGUGGAGCCGUAGCGAAAGCGAGUCUGAAUAGGGCGUUUAGUAUUUGGUCGUAGACCCGAAACCAGGUGAUCUACCCUUGGUCAGGUUGAAGUUCAGGUAACACUGAAUGGAGGACCGAACCGACUUACGUUGAAAAGUGAGCGGAUGAACUGAGGGUAGCGGAGAAAUUCCAAUCGAACCUGGAGAUAGCUGGUUCUCUCCGAAAUAGCUUUAGGGCUAGCCUCAAGUGAUGAUUAUUGGAGGUAGAGCACUGUUUGGACGAGGGGCCCCUCUCGGGUUACCGAAUUCAGACAAACUCCGAAUGCCAAUUAAUUUAACUUGGGAGUCAGAACAUGGGUGAUAAGGUCCGUGUUCGAAAGGGAAACAGCCCAGACCACCAGAUAAGGUCCCAAAAUAUAUGUUAAGUGGAAAAGGAUGUGGCGUUGCCCAGACAACUAGGAUGUUGGCUUAGAAGCAGCCAUCAUUUAAAGAGUGCGUAAUAGCUCACUAGUCGAGUGACACUGCGCCGAAAAUGUACCGGGGCUAAACAUAUUACCGAAGCUGUGGAUUGUCCUUUGGACAAUGGUAGGAGAGCGUUCUAAGGGCGUUGAAGCAUGAUCGUAAGGACAUGUGGAGCGCUUAGAAGUGAGAAUGCCGGUGUGAGUAGCGAAAGACGGGUGAGAAUCCCGUCCACCGAUUGACUAAGGUUUCCAGAGGAAGGCUCGUCCGCUCUGGGUUAGUCGGGUCCUAAGCUGAGGCCGACAGGCGUAGGCGAUGGAUAACAGGUUGAUAUUCCUGUACCACCUAUAAUCGUUUUAAUCGAUGGGGGGACGCAGUAGGAUAGGCGAAGCGUGCGAUUGGAUUGCACGUCUAAGCAGUAAGGCUGAGUAUUAGGCAAAUCCGGUACUCGUUAAGGCUGAGCUGUGAUGGGGAGAAGACAUUGUGUCUUCGAGUCGUUGAUUUCACACUGCCGAGAAAAGCCUCUAGAUAGAAAAUAGGUGCCCGUACCGCAAACCGACACAGGUAGUCAAGAUGAGAAUUCUAAGGUGAGCGAGCGAACUCUCGUUAAGGAACUCGGCAAAAUGACCCCGUAACUUCGGGAGAAGGGGUGCUCUUUAGGGUUAACGCCCAGAAGAGCCGCAGUGAAUAGGCCCAAGCGACUGUUUAUCAAAAACACAGGUCUCUGCUAAACCGUAAGGUGAUGUAUAGGGGCUGACGCCUGCCCGGUGCUGGAAGGUUAAGAGGAGUGGUUAGCUUCUGCGAAGCUACGAAUCGAAGCCCCAGUAAACGGCGGCCGUAACUAUAACGGUCCUAAGGUAGCGAAAUUCCUUGUCGGGUAAGUUCCGACCCGCACGAAAGGCGUAACGAUUUGGGCACUGUCUCAACGAGAGACUCGGUGAAAUCAUAGUACCUGUGAAGAUGCAGGUUACCCGCGACAGGACGGAAAGACCCCGUGGAGCUUUACUGUAGCCUGAUAUUGAAAUUCGGCACAGCUUGUACAGGAUAGGUAGGAGCCUUUGAAACGUGAGCGCUAGCUUACGUGGAGGCGCUGGUGGGAUACUACCCUAGCUGUGUUGGCUUUCUAACCCGCACCACUUAUCGUGGUGGGAGACAGUGUCAGGCGGGCAGUUUGACUGGGGCGGUCGCCUCCUAAAAGGUAACGGAGGCGCUCAAAGGUUCCCUCAGAAUGGUUGGAAAUCAUUCAUAGAGUGUAAAGGCAUAAGGGAGCUUGACUGCGAGACCUACAAGUCGAGCAGGGUCGAAAGACGGACUUAGUGAUCCGGUGGUUCCGCAUGGAAGGGCCAUCGCUCAACGGAUAAAAGCUACCCCGGGGAUAACAGGCUUAUCUCCCCCAAGAGUUCACAUCGACGGGGAGGUUUGGCACCUCGAUGUCGGCUCAUCGCAUCCUGGGGCUGUAGUCGGUCCCAAGGGUUGGGCUGUUCGCCCAUUAAAGCGGUACGCGAGCUGGGUUCAGAACGUCGUGAGACAGUUCGGUCCCUAUCCGUCGUGGGCGUAGGAAAUUUGAGAGGAGCUGUCCUUAGUACGAGAGGACCGGGAUGGACAUACCUCUGGUGUACCAGUUGUCGUGCCAACGGCAUAGCUGGGUAGCUAUGUGUGGACGGGAUAAGUGCUGAAAGCAUCUAAGCAUGAAGCCCCCCUCAAGAUGAGAUUUCCCAACUUCGGUUAUAAGAUCCCUCAAAGAUGAUGAGGUUAAUAGGUUCGAGGUGGAAGCAUGGUGACAUAUGGAGCUGACGAAUACUAAUCGAUCGAAGACUUAAUCAAAUU
rnacentral:rRNA from 1 species